GGUUAAGGUGAGUUUAUGGGUUUAGUAUGAUGGGAGGCUAACACAUUCUUUCUCCAUCUCAUUACAGAUAAAACAAAUUAUGAACUGAAUUGCUACUAUCUGACCCAUUUCCCCCUUUUCUGGCUAGCCACUGAAAAGCUUUAUUUGACAUUCAUUUUCUAUUGUUGUUGUUUGUUCCAGUUAAUCGAUGAUUACAGGUGAUGACCCUCUCAGCCAUGAGUUCCUGUAAGCUGUUAGUUGUUGCUCUUUUUGCUGCCUUCCUUAUCUCUUUAGGAACCGGUCUGAAUUUAUCUGCCAGAGUCUGUUGGCAAAAAGGAGGAAGAUGCCACCGGGCUGGUCAAUGUUACUACAAUGAAAUUGAGAUUGGAACGUGUUACCAUUUCCGGUUGAAAUGUUGCCGAGAUAAAAGCCAAGAAGAAACACCAACAUAAAUGUUGCAAAAUUAUGAACUAGAAUAUCUGAAGCAAUGCAAUAUUUCAGUUUUCAUUUAAUGCUUCUUCAUGCUCAGCAGUUCAGUGACGAAACAGGACAGUUAUAUGGACGGUGUACUAAUCAUUUAUUCCAAUACUGCUAGAAAAUUAUCCCUGCUCCACACUUUAAAAAAUUGUAUAGUUUUUCCAAACUGUGGAUUUAUUAUUGAACCCUGGCAUAAGUAUGGAGCAUGUUGAAACACGAAGGUUGCUUUAGCAAUUAAACCAUGUAAUUUAGCCUA